rnacentral:rRNA from 1 species
UACUUGGUGGCGACCGGCGCACGGGUGAGUAACGCGUAUGCAACCUACCUAUCGAGAGGGGAAUAACCCGGCGAAAGUCGGACUAAUACCGCAUAAAACAGGGGCACCGCAUGGUGAUAUUUGUUAAAGAAAUUCGCUGAUAGAUGGGCAUGCGUUCCAUUAGGUAGUUGGUGAGGUAACGGCUCACCAAGCCGACGAUGGAUAGGGGAACUGAGAGGUUGGUCCCCCACACUGGUACUGAGACACGGACCAGACUCCUACGGGAGGCAGCAGUGAGGAAUAUUGGUCAAUGGGCGGGAGCCUGAACCAGCCAAGUCGCGUGAAGGGAAAAGAAGGAUCUAUGGUUCGUAAACUUCUUUUGCAGGGGAAUAAAGUGCAGGACGUGUCCUGUUUUGUAUGUACCCUGAGAAUAAGGAUCGGCUAACUCCGUGCCAGCAGCAGC